rnacentral:lncRNA from 1 species
UAUACAUAUAUAUAUAGAUAUAUAAUAAAUUAGAUAGUAUAUGCACAUCUAUAUCGUCGUUUUAGCUGGCUUAAUAAAAAGUUCUUCGUGAUAGGCGAGAGCGCAGCCGAGGUAUGUAGAUAUAAAGCGAAAAAGGAGAAGAAGAAAGAGGCGAGGCAGCGCUUGGAAUAUUUGCACGUGGAAAGACGAAACUCGUCGCUUCUCUCGGAUAUUGCAACCGAUGCCUCUCGUUUUCCCUUAUCCCCAAGUUUCUUUGCCGCGUGAAAGAAGAAGGAAGAAAGAAGAAGCGCAUUAUACGUGGAAGCGUUCCUCCCUUUCGCCUCGCGGCCACACGGAGAACAGGGAGUUCUCGCUUUGGAAGAAAAGGGAAUGGAGAAAAACGAUGCCGCGGAGGAAAAUGUCGAGAGGAAAAAAGAUGACGAUUGAAAUUUCUGGCACGGAAGUCGCGCGAGUUUCGCUCAACAUUUGCGAUGCGUUCUUCUACCGGUAGACACCGUGAGAAUUCUUCUAGUGUCUUAUUCUUCUUCGUGUAGACGCACGUGGAUCGAGAAAGUAUCCUCUUGGGCAUUAAAUGAUGCUUCUAUACAGAUCUAUAUAUUCUAUUGGUGUAUGUAGUAUUUAAAAUACAAAUUUUCAUUUUCCUCCUACGAAAUAUUACACAAUAAGCAUUUCGUUGGAAUAAUGUUGUUAGUACAUGCAGUACAAAUAAAAAAUAUAUUUAGAGAUGAUGACAUUAUAGGUCAAACGAUUAGGAUUUACAUAUGUAUAUACCAAAGAAAGGAAAGAGAAGAAGCAUCUUAUCGAGUAGAGAGAGAAUGUAAAUAAACAUCCUAACCAUUACAAGUUGGUUUAUAGGUUUCACCUUAAA